CCGUAGGUGAACCUGCGGAAGGAUCAUUAAAAAAUGUGGUACCAAUUAUUGGUACUAAUUAAUCAUCCUACCCUUUGUGAAUUUGUUUGUAAUGAAUUUUUUUUAAAUGGGUCUUUCCCUAAGUUGGAUUGUUAGUAAAAUACAAAAAGACUUAGGGGAAUGACUUUUUUAAAAAGACUUUUUUUUUAAUUAAAACUUUUUGUAUUCAUUUGUCUAAAAUUUAUUUUUAUAAUAUAAAAACAACUUUUGACAAUGGAUCUCUUGGUUCUCGCAACGAUGAAGAACGCAGCAAAAUGCGAUAAGUAGUGUGAAUUGCAGAAUACGUGAAUCAUCGAAUCUUCGAACGCAUAUUGCACUUUUUUAGUUUACUAAAAAAGUAUGUCUGUUUGAGUAUCAGUAAAUAUUCUCACAAACAUAUAUUGUUUGUGGUUAUGAGUGUUUUACAACGAUAAACAAGUUGUUUCACUUUAAAUUCUUUUUAAUUGAAUUUUUACCAAUUCAUAAAUUAAAAUUGGAUAAAAUUUUCCUUUAACGAGGAAUAACCUAAACAAUUUUAAAUUUUAUGGAUUAAUAAACAUUCAUCAAAGGAAUCUAAUAUACAUAAAUAACUUGAUCUCAAAUCAGAUAAGAGUACCCGCUGAACUUAAGCAUAUCAAUAAGCGGAGGAAAAGAAACUAACAAGGAUUCCCUUAGUAACGGCGAGUGAAGCGGGAAGAGCUCAAAUUUGAAAUCUUCAAGGUUUGACCUUGACGAAUUGUAGUUUAUAGAAGUGUUUUCUGUUGGAGUUUUGGUAAGAGUUCUUUGGAAUAGGACAUCAUAGAGGGUGAGAAUCCCGUAUUUGACCAUGACUUUCCAGCUGUGUGAUACACUUUCAAAGAGUCGGAUUGUUUGGGAAUGCAGUCCAAAAUGGGUGGUAAAUUUCAUCUAAAGCUAAAUAUUGGCGAGAGACCGAUAGCGAACAAGUACCGUGAGGGAAAGAUGAAAAGAACUUUGAAAAGAGAGUUAAACAGUACGUGAAAUUGUCAAAAGGGAAGCGUUUGACACCAGUGUUGUUUUCUCGAAAAUCAAUUUAAUGAGUUCUUGUUUUUAAGCUAUUGUGACUUUAUCAGCGCAUUUCUUAUUUUACUUGACUCAUUGAAUGCACUUUUCGUUUAACAAGUCAACAUCAAUUUCUUUGGUGGUAAAAAGUUUAAAGGAAGGUGGCUUGGACUUCGGUUCAAGUGUUUAUAGCCUUUUUUCUAUGCCAUCGGAGAGAUUGAGGUCUGCAGCGUAGAUCCUUCGGGGUUAGAUACCUUUGUGCUAAGUUAUAGUUUUUUAUAGACAACUUGUUGACUAUAAUUAACCCUGUAAUUUACUCGCUUAGGCUAUUUUACCUACGCUUAGGAUGUUG
rnacentral:misc_RNA from 1 species